rnacentral:rRNA from 1 species
GAUGAACGCUGGCGGCGUGCCUAAUACAUGCAAGUCGAGCGAACUGAUUAGAAGCUUGCUUCUAUGACGUUAGCGGCGGACGGGUGAGUAACACGUGGGCAACCUGCCUGUAAGACUGGGAUAACUUCGGGAAACCGAAGCUAAUACCGGAUAGGAUCAUCUCCUUCAUGGGAGAUGAUUGAAAGAUGGUUUCGGCUAUCACUUACAGAUGGGCCCGCGGUGCAUUAGCUAGUUGGUGAGGUAACGGCUCACCAAGGCAACGAUGCAUAGCCGAACUGAGAGGGUGAUCGGCCACACUGGGACUGAGACACGGCCCAGACUCCUACGGGAGGCAGCAGUAGGGAAUCUUCCGCAAUGGACGAAAGUCUGACGGAGCAACGCCGCGUGAGUGAUGAAGGCUUUCGGGUCGUAAAACUCUGUUGUUAGGGAAGAACAAGUACAAGAGUAACUGCUUGUACCUUGACGGUACCUAACCAGAAAGCCACGGCUAACUACGUGCCAGCCGCCGCAGUAAGAC